rnacentral:rRNA from 1 species
UACGUAGGGUGCGAGCGUUGUCCGGAAUUAUUGGGCGUAAAGAGCUCGUAGGCGGUGUGUCACGUCGGCCGUGAAAACCUGCAGCUUAACUGUGGGCGUGCGGUCGAUACGGGCAUCACUGGAGUUCGGCAGGGGAGACUGGAAUUCCUGGUGUAGCGGUGAAAUGCGCAGAUAUCAGGAGGAACACCGGUGGCGAAGGCGGGUCUCUGGACAUUUCCUGACGCUGAGGCACGAAAGCCAGGGGAGCAAACGGG